AUGGAUAGGCAAGGCAUUUCACCUUCGGUCUACAACAACAACGACGAGUUCGAUGCCACGAACAACUCCAACGACGCCAAGAUGCAAGCUCAAAUGGAGGAGAUCAAAGCCCUCAUCAAGUCCUACAAGCGAUCUUCCUCAUCUUCGAGAAGACGCUCAAGAGCACAUGCUUCCGAGCUACCAUCUCUGGCAAGAUCACAUCGGCAUCGACACCAACACCGACAAGAACGUGAAGGUCAAGAGCUCAACACCAACAACCGCUCAAUGGAUUCACCAUCUACCUUGGCAUCUUCGCCAAGCGACUUCAAGGCAUCUUCGCCUACGGACAUACGACAUCUUCGCCAACAAGAACCUCAAAGCUACGCUCAAGAGAAGCUCCCCAAGCUCAAGUCCGUGACUUCCACGAGCUACUACGACCUCGACAUCGACCACGCGAUUCCUUUCUACAGGACUCAAGAACCCGAGGAGUAUCUCGAGUGGGAGCGCCUAAUGGACGACUACCUCAAGCUACAUCAAGUUCCUCCCGAAGAUCAAGUGAAGGGCGCCACAAGAAACUUCCAUGACUACGCUUCGACAUGGUGGCUUCACACACCUUCGGCGAGCCAUGACAUGAGUUGGCCCAAGACGAAGAGAGCUUUGAGGCGAGAGUUCGUGCCUCCAACCUACACGGAACAACUUCGACGCCAAUUGGAGAACACCAUCCAAGGAUCCAAGUCCAUCGACAAGUACUUCAAGGAGAUGAAGAAUGCCUUGCGACGAGCCGGCGUGGACGAUCCCAUUUCGAUGAAGUUCCACUUCAUGAUGGGAUUGAACAACGACAUCUCCAAGACUAUCUUCCUCGAGAACUACAAGUCCCUCGACGACAACACAUUGGUGCUCUCAAGGCGGAACAAGAACUCAUGA
rnacentral:rRNA from 1 species